rnacentral:lncRNA from 10 species
AUCCAUCUAAACUUUUACUUCAUUGGAGGGUCCUUCCUGACCCAUGCAACUCAACAAAAAACUCUCACAGUUUUUAUAUGCUUUGUUGGGGAUUAACCCAUCUUGCAUUGCAUUGCUAGCUUAGUAUGUCUAGCAUGGGCAUGCCUGCUGAAGUUUGGAACUUCCCAUCAAGGAAACAGGAAAAUGCCAUUGGCAAUGAGCUGAAGACUGAUUUACUCUACCAGGAGCAGCAGGACAUCUGGGGAUGAGAAGAUGGAGAGAUCAUCCUUAUAUAAUGUUGCAGUCUGGAAGCAUCACUCUCAAAAAGGUUUUGAUAGACUAGAAAAAUGACAAGACUCCAAGUCCUUGAAGAGGAGGAAAAGUGUGAAGAAAACAAAAAAGGGAGAUUUAUGUCUGCUUCACCAUUUUGCCCAAGACUUGACCUGUCAUACACUGAAGCUCAGAGAGGAAGAAAGGACCGUGUGAGAGAAGAAGGGAACAGCCUUUCAUCCAUAGGAGAAGUUCGUCUAUGACAAAGCCACUAGCUCCAUGUGGCCGCUGAGCACUCAAAAUGUGGCCAGUCUGAAUUGAGAUAUGUUGUUAGUAUAAAGUCCACAUCGGCUUUUUGAGCACUUUGUAUGAGAAAAAAGAAUACCAAAUAUCUCCUUAAUAAUUGUUACAUUGAUUAUAUGUUGAACUGAUAACAUUAUGGAUAUAUUGGAUUAAAUAAAAUAAAUUAUUAAAAUCAAAUAAAAAAUAAAAUCAAUUUCACCUGUUU